rnacentral:rRNA from 1 species
GGGNGCUCUCCCNUAUGGUCGACCUGCAGGCGGCCGCGAAUUCACUAGUGAUUAGAGUUUGAUCCUGGCUCAGAUUGAACGCUGGCGGCGUGCUUAACACAUGCAAGUCGAACGUGAAAGUCCUUCGGGACGAGUAAAGUGGCGCACGGGUGAGUAACGCGUGGAUAAUCUACCCUUAAGAUGGGGAUAACGGCUGGAAACGGUCGCUAAUACCGAAUACGCUCCCGAUUUUAUCGUUGGGGGGAAAGAUGGCCUCUGCUUGCAAGCUAUCGCUUAAGGAUGAGUCCGCGUCCCAUUAGCUAGUUGGCGGGGUAACGGCCCACCAAGGCGACGAUGGGUAGCCGGUCUGAGAGGAUGACCGGCCACACUGGAACUGGAACACGGUCCAGACUCCUACGGGAGGCAGCAGUGGGGAAUAUUGCGCAAUGGGCGAAAGCCUGACGCAGCGACGCCGCGUGAGGGAUGAAGGUUCUCGGAUCGUAAACCUCUGUCAGGGGGGAAGAAACCCCCUCGUGUGAAUAAUGCGAGGGCUUGACGGUACCCCCAAAGGAAGCACCGGCUAACUCCGUGCCAGCAGCCGCGGUAAUACGGAGGGUGCAAGCGUUAAUCGGAAUCACUGGGCGUAAAGCGCACGUAGGCGGCUUGGUAAGUCAGGGGUGAAAUCCCACAGCCCAACUGUGGAACUGCCUUUGAUACUGCCAGGCUUGAGUACCGGAGAGGGUGGCGGAAUUCCAGGUGUAGGAGUGAAAUCCGUAGAUAUCUGGAGGAACACCGGUGGCGAAGGCGGCCACCUGGACGGUAACUGACGCUGANGUGCGAAAGCGUGGGUAGCAAACAGGGUUAGAUACCCUGGUAGUCCACGCUGUAAACGAUGGGUGCUGGGUGCUGGGAUGUAUGUCUCGGUGCCGUAGCUAACGCGAUAAGCACCCCGCCUGGGGAGUACGGUCGCANGGCUGAAACUCAAANAAAUUGANGGGGGCCCGC